GCUGUGAUGGCCGAGUGGUUAAGGCGUUGGACUCGAAAUCCAAUGGGAUAUUCCCGCGCAGGUUCGAAUCAUGUUCACAGCG
rnacentral:tRNA from 1 species